GAAAUGCGAUAAGUAAUGUGAAUUGCAGAAUUCAGUGAAUCAUCGAAUCUUUGAACGCACCUUGCGCUCCUUGGUAUUCCUUGGAGCAUGCCUGUUUGAGUAUCAUGAAAUCUUCAAAGUCAAACCUUUUGUUAAUUCAAUUGGUUCUGCUUUGGUAUUGGAGGAUUAUUGCAGCUUCACACCUGCUCCUCUUUGUGCAUUAGCUGGAUCUCAGUGUUAUGCUUGGUUCCACUCAGCGUGAUAAGUUAUCUAUCGCUGAGGACACCCUGUUAAAAAGGGGUGGCCAAGGUAAAUGCAGAUGAACCGCUUCUAAUAGUCCAUUGACUUGGACAAUAUCUAAUUUAUGAUCUGAUCUCAAAUCAGGUAGGACUACCCGCUGAACUUAA
rnacentral:misc_RNA from 1 species